rnacentral:rRNA from 1 species
CACGGGGGUUGCAAGCGUUGUCCGGAAUUACUAGGCGUAAAGUGCAGGUAGGCGGUAAGUUAAGUUGGAUGUGAAAGCCCCGGGCUCAACCUGGGAAUUGCAUUCAGAACUGGCUCGCUAGAGUAUGUGAGAGGGGGGUAGAAUUCCAAGUGUAGCGGUGAAAUGCGUAGAGAUUUGGAGGAAUACCAGUGGCGAAGGCGGCCCCCUGGCACAAUACUGACGCUGAGGUGCGAAAGCGUGGGGAUCAAACAGGAUUAGAUACCCUGGUAGUCCACGCCGUAAGCGAUGUCUACUAGCUGUUCGUGGUCUUGUACCGUGAGUAGCGCAGCUAACGCACUAAGUAGACCGCCUGGGGAGUACGGUCGCAAGAUUAAA